GACGAACGCUGGCGGCGUGCCUAAUACAUGCAAGUUGAGCGAUGAAGAUUGGUGCUUGCACCAAUUUGAAGAGCAGCGAACGGGUGAGUAACGCGUGGGGAAUCUGCCUUUGAGCGGGGGACAACAUUUGGAAACGAAUGCUAAUACCGCAUAAUAACUUUAAACAUAAGUUUUAAGUUUGAAAGAUGCAAUUGCAUCACUCAAAGAUGAUCCCGCGUUGUAUUAGCUAGUUGGUGAGGUAAAGGCUCACCAAGGCGAUGAUACAUAGCCGACCUGAGAGGGCGAUCGGCCACAUUGGGACUGAGACACGGCCCAAACUCCUACGGGAGGCAGCAGUAGGGAAUCUUCGGCAAUGGACGAAAGUCUGACCGAGCAACGCCGCGUGAGUGAAGAAGGUUUUCGGAUCGUAAAACUCUGUUGGUAGAGAAGAACGUUGGUGAGAGUGGAAAGCUCAUCAAGUGACGGUAACUACCCAGAAAGGGACGGCUAACUACGUG
rnacentral:rRNA from 1 species